rnacentral:lncRNA from 1 species
CGUCCCUCCGACGUUCGGAUAAACUGCUCUGAAACGGGCGUCAUCCCGACUCACUUGCGAGGACCACCACUACCCGCCGCUGUUACUGCAGCACCGAGGCCUUCACUAUCGUCAUACAACAACAGGAAAGAGAACGCGAAGCCAGAAAGGAGAAGUUGUCCGGAGGAGGAGCCGAAGACACGAUGGGAACCAUUAGCGACAAGGAUCGAAAGAAAACCGUGGAGGGGACACAAGCUGCAAAUAAUUUUUUGCUACCUGCUGCCGGAGUUGCUGCAAUAUUUGCGCCGCCGGUAGCAAUUGGAUUGCUAAUAGCCGCCGCUGGAACAGCUACCGCACAAGUUACUGCUUCGGCUCUGCCAGGGGACGAUGAGAAGUAGCAGGAACUGAAGAACCGGACUUCGGCCAUUGGCACGCCAAGCGCGCCUCCGCAAGAACGACCUAUGGGUUAUUUUUCGUAACAGCAGCCAGAACCAUACCGCGCCUAGUAUUAUUAGGUAAUUGAGGCGGCGGUAAUGCUUAGACGUUAAUCAGCAAGAAUUAGUUUCAUGAAAUAAAAUAUGUUUCAGCAAUA